GUGAAUUUAGAGCGUAACUUCGGUUAGCUCAACCUUCAUUUUCCAACUCUGUGCACUAUUGGCGGACUGGGAGCAAGUAAUUGCUAUUCAGUCUGCGGCUCACUAUUAAACAUUAGUUAAAGUAUGUAUAUAAAAACAAAACAAAA
rnacentral:misc_RNA from 1 species